rnacentral:rRNA from 1 species
GAUCCUGGCUCAGGACGAACGCUGGCGGCGUGCCUAAUACAUGCAAGUAGAACGCUGAAGGAGGAGCUUGCUCUUCUGGGUGAGUUGCGAACGGGUGAGUAACGCGUAGGUAACCUGCCUGGUAGUGGGGGAUAACUAUUGGAAACGAUAGCUAAUACCGCAUAAUAGCAGUUGUUGCAUGACAGCUGUUUGAAAGGUGCAAUUGCACCACUACCAGAUGGACCUGCGUUG